rnacentral:rRNA from 1 species
GUCCGCAAGGACAAUUUGACAAUUGACCUCAAAUCAGUUACGACGGCCCCAGCAUU